GUCUUGCAUACGGAAAGGUUGUUCCGUGAUCCAAGUGGGCUGAAAUACGCUGUACAGCGUCUUUCACUUCACUUGGAUCACAAUUUCCGUUCCGUAUCCACACCUACCUGUACUUUUAAUUGGGAAGAGGGAGUGUCUUGGAUAGGGAAAGGUUGUUCCGUGAUCCAAGUGGGCUGAAAUACGCUGUACAGCGUCUUUCACUUCACUUGGAUCACUUUUUCCGUUCCGUAUCCACACCUACCUGUACUUUUAAUUGGGAAGGGGGAGUGUCUUGCAUACGGAAAGGUUGUUCCGUGAUCCAAGUGGGCUGAAAUACGCUGUACAGCGUCUUUCACUUCACUUGGAUCACAAUUUCCGUUCCGUAUCCACACCUACCUGUACUUUUAAUUGGGAAGAGGGAGUGUCUUGGAUAGGGAAAGGUUGUUCCGUGAUCCAAGUGGGCUGAAAUACGCUGUACCUAUGCUGAAAGCAUAGAUACUGUAAUACACAUGGAUGUGAAACAUUACCGGAAGCUCCGUAUAAAGUCUAUGGAGAAACCACUUCCUGUUGUCUCCAUGCUAUACAACAAAGAAAAUGGCGAGUGAGAAUACUUCAAACAACAGAAAAAGGGUCCAAAAUGCCACCAAUUUAGGGGGUUCCAACUAUAGGUCCAACAGGAAAUAUAUAUAUAUAAAGUAUUAUUUCAUUCACUUCCAAAAAACUGUUGCCAUGAUGAGCACGUGGUUGAAAUUUACGUACCAAGAGAAUGGAUGGGGGAUAGUAUACGGAGAAGAGAGGCUCAAUGUCAUGACAAAAUGACAGCUAAGGGUCCUGAAAAAGACUAUCAACCAGUGAAGAGGAGUGGACACUCCACUGUACGGGUAGGAGACUACCUGUAUAUGUGGGGUGGGAACCAGCCUGAUCUCCCUGAAGUACAUAAUAAUGAA